GCGGAGGGCCGCGACUGGCGCGCACUCCUCGCGGGGUGCUCAGUGGAAUCGACCACGAGGGAGCGGCACACCCCGGGCGUGCCCGGGGGCGUCAUGCCGGAGAGCCGUCCGCCUGGGCAUCCGGG
rnacentral:ncRNA from 19 species